UGGGGAAUAUUGGACAAUGGGCGAAAGCCUGAUCCAGCCAUGCCGCGUGUGUGAAGAAGGUCUUCGGAUUGUAAAGCACUUUAAGUUGGGAGGAAGGGCAGUAAGCGAAUACCUUGCUGUUUAUACGUUACCGACAGAAUAAGCACCGGCUAACUCUGUGCCAGCAGCCGCGGUAAUACAGAGGGUGCAAGCGUUAAUCGGAAUUACUGGGCGUAAAGCGCGCGUAGGUGGUUCGUUAAGUUGAAUGUGAAAGCCCCGGGCUCAACCUGGGAACUGCAUCCAAAACUGGCGAGCUAGAGUAGGGCAGAGGGUGGUGGAAUUUCCUGUGUAGCGGUGAAAUGCGUAGAUAUAGGAAGGAACACCAGUGGCGAAGGCGACCACCUGGGCUCAUACUGACACUGAGGUGCGAAAGCGUGGGGAGCAAACAGG
rnacentral:rRNA from 1 species